rnacentral:rRNA from 1 species
AGAAUCAACGCUGGCGGCGUGCCUAACACAUGCAAGUCGAACGAGAAAGUGGUAGCAAUACCAUGAGUAAAGUGGCGCACGGGUGAGUAACACGUCGACUAACCUACCCUUGAGUGGGGGAUAACUGAGGGAAACCUAGCUAAUACCGCAUAAUACCCACGGGUCAAAGGAGCAAUUCGCUCGAGGAGGGGGUCGCGGCCGAUUAGUUAGUUGGCAGGGUAAUGGCCUACCAAGACGAUGAUCGGUA